rnacentral:rRNA from 1 species
GAUGAACGCUGGCGGCGUGCUUAACACAUGCAAGUCGAGCGAGUGAGUUCUUCGGAACAAUCUAGCGGCGGACGGGUGAGUAACACGUGGGCAACCUGCCUCAUAGAGGGGAAUAGCCUCCCGAAAGGGAGAUUAAUACCGCAUAAAAUUAUCGAGUGGCAUCACAUGAUAAUCAAAGGAGUAAUCCGCUAUGAGAUGGGCCCGCGGCGCAUUAGCUAGUUGGUGAGGUAACGGCUCACCAAGGCGACGAUGCGUAGCCGACCUGAGAGGGGGAUCGGCAACAUGGGGACUGAGAAACGGCCCAGACUCCUACGGGAGGCAGCAGUGGGGAAUAUUGCACAAUGGGGGAAACCCUGAUGCAGCAACGCCGCGUGAGUGAUGAAGGUCUUCGGAUUGUAAAGCUCUGUCUUUGGGGACGAUAAUGACGGUACCCAAGGAGGAAGCCACGGCUAACUACGUGCCAGCCGCCGCCGUAA